rnacentral:rRNA from 1 species
AUUGAACGCUGGCGGCAGGCCUAACACAUGCAAGUCGAACGAGUGGCGGACGGGUGAGUAAUGUCUGGGAAACUGCCUGAUGGAGGGGGAUAACUACUGGAAACGGUAGCUAAUACCGCAUACCAUCAGAUGUGCCCAGAUGGGAUUAGCUUGUUGGUGGGGUAACGGCUCACCAAGGCGACGAUCCCUAGCUGGUCUGAGAGGAGGACCAUCCAAUCUGGAACUAGGACACGGUCCAGACUCCUACGGGAGGAAGCAGGGGAAAAAAUUGGACAAUGGACGCAAUCCUAAUGCAGCAAUGCCAGGUGUAUUAAGAAGGCCUUCGGUUUGAAAAGUACUGUCAGCGGGGAAGCGUUACCCGAAGAAGAAGCACCGGCUAACUCCGUGCCAGCAGCCGCGGUAAUUC